rnacentral:rRNA from 1 species
UAAGGAAUAUUGGACAAUGGAGGCAACUCUGAUCCAGCCAUGCCGCGUGAAGGAAUAAGGCCCUAUGGGUUGUAAACUUCUUUUAGACGGGACAAAACCCCUUUACGUGUAAAGGGUUGAUGGUACUGUCAGAAUAAGCAUCGGCUAACUUCGUGCCAGCAGCCGCGGUAAUACGAAGGAUGCAAGCGUUAUCCGGAAUUAUUGGGUUUAAAGGGUGCGUAGGCGGACUAAUAAGUCAGUGGUGAAAGCCUGCAGCUUAACUGCAGAAUUGCCAAUGAUACUGUUAGUCUUGAGUACAGUUGAGGUAGGCGGAAUGUGUCAUGUAGCGGUGAAAUGCUUAGAUAUGACACAGAACACCGAUUGCGAAGGCAGCUUGCUAAGCUGUAACUGACGCUGAGGCACGAAAGCGUGGGGAGCAAACG